GUGGGGAAUAUUGGACAAUGGGCGAAAGCCUGAUCCAGCCAUGCCGCGUGUGUGAAGAAGGUCUUCGGAUUGUAAAGCACUUUAAGUUGGGAGGAAGGGCAGUAAGUUAAUACCUUGCUGUUUUGACGUUACCGACAGAAUAAGCACCGGCUAACUUCGUGCCAGCAGCCGCGGUAAUACGAAGGGUGCAAGCGUUAAUCGGAAUUACUGGGCGUAAAGCGCGCGUAGGUGGUUUUGUAAGUUGGAGGUGAAAUCCCCGGGCUCAACCUGGGAACUGCCUCCAAAACUGCAUGACUAGAGUACGGUAGAGGGUAGUGGAAUUUCCUGUGUAGCGGUGAAAUGCGUAGAUAUAGGAAGGAACACCAGUGGCGAAGGCGACUUCCUGGACUGAUACUGACACUGAGGUGCGAAAGCGUGGGGAGCAAACAGGAUUAGAUACCCUUGUAGUCC
rnacentral:rRNA from 1 species